AACAGCAUGGGGAAGUUAAAUAGACU
rnacentral:piRNA from 1 species